rnacentral:rRNA from 1 species
AUACGUAGGGACCGAGCGUUGUCCGGAUUUAUUGGGCGUAAAGAGCUCGUAGGCGGCUUGUCGCGUCGACCGUGAAAACUUGGGGCUCAACCCCAAGCCUGCGGUCGAUACGGGCAGGCUCGAGUUCGGUAGGGGAGACUGGAAUUCCUGGUGUAGCGGUGAAAUGCGCGGAUAUCAGGAGGAACACCGGUGGCGAAGGCGGGUCUCUGGGCCGAAACUGACGCUGAGGAGCGAAAGCGUGGGGAGCGAACA